rnacentral:misc_RNA from 1 species
AACGCACAUUGCGCCCGCUAGCACUCUGGCGGGCAUGCCUGUUCGAGCGUCAUUUCAACCAUCAAGCCCCAGGCUUGUGUUAGAGCCCUGCGGCUGCCGCAGGCUCCUAAAAGCAGUGGCGGGCUCGCUAUUACACCGAGUGCAGUAGAUUUCUCUUCGCUCAGGGCGUGUGGCGGGUUCCAGCCGUGAAACCCCUACUUUUUAAGGUUGACCUCGGAUCAGGUAGGAAUACCCGCUGAACUUAA